AAACCAUACAUCGGGAAUUUUUGUAGUAAAUCCUUGAAACACUCCCAAGCUUCAUAUAGGCUUUCAUCCUCCAUUUGCUUGAAUGAUGUGAGAUCAUUCCUUGAUUU